rnacentral:tRNA from 1 species
GAGAAACGUUAGCUCAAUGGAAGAGCGCUGAGUCGACAAGUCAGAGGCGCAGGUUCGAAUCCUGCCGUUUCACA